UACAGAGGUCCCAAGCGUUGUUCGGAUUCACUGGGCGUAAAGGGUGCGUAGGUGGCGUCGUAAGUCGGGUGUGAAAUCUCGGGGCUUAACUCCGAAACUGCAUUCGAUACUGCGGUGCUUGAGGACUUGGAGAGGAGACUGGAAUUUACGGUGUAGCAGUGAAAUGCGUAGAGAUCGUAAGGAAGACCAGUGGCGAAGGCGGGUCUCUGGACAGUUCCUGACACUGAGGCACGAAGGCCAGGGGAGCGAACGGG
rnacentral:rRNA from 1 species